rnacentral:rRNA from 1 species
UACGUAGGUGGCGAGCGUUAUCCGGAUUUACUGGGCGUAAAGCGCUUUUAGGCGGCUUCGUAAGUUGGGCGUGAAAGCUCCGGGCUUAACCCGGAGAGGCCGUCCAAUACUGCGGAGCUCGAGGGUGCCAGAGGAAGGUGGAAUUCCUGGUGUAGCGGUGAAAUACGUAGAUAUCAGGAGGAACACCCGUGGCGAAGGCGGCUUUCGGGGGCAUUCCUGACGCUGAGAAGCGAAAGCUAGGGGAGCAAACAGG